rnacentral:rRNA from 1 species
CCUACGGGUGACAGCAGUGAGGAAUAUUGGUCAAUGGACGUAAGUCUGAACCAGCCAAGCCGCGUGCGGGAUGAAGGCUCUAUGGGUCGUAAACCUCUUUUGUACGGGGAUAAACGGCGAGACGCGUCCCGUUUUGAAUGUACCGUAUGAAUAAGGAUCGGCUAACUCCGUGCCAGCAGCCGCGGUAAUACGGAGGAUCCAAGCGUUAUCCGGAUUUAUUGGGUUUAAAGGGUGCGUAGGCGGCCGUUUAAGUCAGCGGUGAAAUGCCGUGGCUCAACCACAGAAUUGCCGUUGAAACUGGUCGGCUUGAGAGUGUUUGAGGCAGGCGGAAUGUGUGGUGUAGCGGUGAAAUGCUUAGAGAUCACGCAGAACCCCGAUUGCGAAGGCAGCUUGCCAAGCCACUUCUGACGUUGAGGCACGAAAGCGUGGGGAUCAAACAGGAUUAGAUACCCGAGUAGUC